rnacentral:lncRNA from 1 species
UUGUUAAAUUUGAUUUGUUCGUUUUGUCGCUUGUUCGAAUUUCGUUAUUAUUUCACAUAAUUGUUUCAUGUGAAAUAAAUAUAUUAGUUUCAUUUUGGAGUUGAUACAUUGGACUCGUACUUGUACUCUUUGAAUCAGGUUAUCAUGUAUAGUUUAUUUUGAUAAUUGUAGAGCGGUACAUGUUGCUACCUUCUUUUUGAGACCUUGUGACUAUAAUUUGAUUUGGUUCAACAUGUA